rnacentral:rRNA from 1 species
AUUCCAGCUCCAAUAGCGUAUAUUAAAGUUGUUGCAGUUAAAACGCUCGUAGUCGAAUUUCGGACGCGAAACAAAGGUAGAUCAAAUGAUCUUACUUUUGAUUCAAGUCCUUAUUUCUGGGAGAGCAUGCUUAGCAUGUUAAUCCAGGACAUUUACUUUGAGGAAAUUAGAGUGUUCAAAGCAGGCAUUUGCUUGAAUAUGACAGCAUAGAAUAAUAGAAUAGGACUUUGGUUUUAUUUUGUUGGUUUUGGAGACCAAGGUAAUGAUGAAUAGGGGCAGUCGUGGGCAUUAGUAUUUUGAAGUCAGAGGUGAAAUUCUUGGAUUUUCAAAAGACUAACUAAAGCGAAAGCAUUUGCCAAGGAUGUUUUCAUCA